rnacentral:lncRNA from 1 species
AGAAGGAGGCAGGCCAAUACUUGAGCACGUUUUUGAGGUUAUCGUCUAUUUGGUAAUUUCUUUCAUUUUUAAAUUUUUUGUGCUUGUUUUCAACUUAGUUUUUAAGAAGUGUACAAAAUUUGAGUUAAGAUCAAUAGUUCAUUCAUUAGUUAUUGAGGUUUAAAUGUUUUUUAGAAAUUACUAGGAUUUGGUUAAGAUUUGAUUUAGGAUUUAGGGUUUGGUUAGGAUGUGAUUUAGAAUUAGGAUUUGGUUAGAAUUUGAUUUAGGAUUAGGAUUUAGUUUAGAAUUUAGGAUUUGAUUUAGGAUUUAAGAUUUGAUUAGAAUUUGGUUAGAAUUUGAUUUAGGGUUUAGGAUUUGGUUAGGAUUUGAUUUAGGAUUUAAGAUUUGAUUAGGAUUUGAUUUAUGGUUUGAUUAGGAUUUGAUUUACGAUUUGAUUAGGAUUUGAUUUAGGAUUUAAGAUUUGAUUAGAAUUUGAUUUACGGUUUGAUUAAGAUUUGAUUUACGAUUUGAUUAGGAUUUGAUUUAGGAUUUAGGAUUUUAUUAAAGUUUAUUUAGGAUUUAAGAUUUAAUUAUUUUUUGGCCUAAAGUCUAAUAGGAUUUUAACUAGGAUUAAAUUAAGAUUGAAUUGAGAUGUAUUUGAGAUAUAUUUGUGAUCAUUUUAAUAUUUCUUUAAGAUUUUUUAUUAUUUCUUUGUAAUUCCUUUGAAGUUUUUUUGAAUUUGAUUAAAGCUUGAUUAACAUUGUUAUGAUCUAAUUAAAUUUUAGUUAAUAUUCUAUUAGAAUUAGGAUUUUAUUUUUAUAAUUUCUAUUCUAUUUUCUACAACCAGGUGGCCAGAGCAUUCUCAAGCAAGACUUUACGUAUCACAACAACGUGUACGGGUUUAGUUUUUCAUAUUAACUGUUUAUUAUGUUUUUAACAAAUUCUUCAUCUAAAAAAUAAGUUGAGGCU